rnacentral:lncRNA from 1 species
UAUUGCAUUUAGUUGUGUGAUUUCGCUAUUAGCUGCUGGAUAUCUUCAUUAUUUUGUAUGAUUGAUGAGGGCCUUCAGUCAAGUCAAAGGACCACAAACACAUGGUUGUAAAUUGUAACAAGUAAUCCUCAUUGACCUGGCUUGAUAAUCUUGCCAUCUUUCAUAUUAAGCAUACCGUGUUACUUAGUUUUUGAGAUGACAUGAAGUUUGAGUGCUAAGUUUAUCUAAUUCUUGCAAAAUAGACGACUGCAUACAUUUCAACUAUAUGAAGUCGAUGGAAAUUUAUGUUCGAGUGUCGACACAUCUUUGCUCCUCCAAUCUUUCUCCUUCCAACUUAUCUGAUCUUCAGUUCGUUGUUCUUUUAUGUCACUCUUAUCAACAAAGGCAUAAAAAAAGCCAUGCCUUUGACCAUUCUAGGCUUUGUUG